rnacentral:rRNA from 1 species
AAUGAACGCUGGCGGCGCGCCUAAUACAUGCAAGUCGAGCGAGAAGACGUAGCAAUACGUUUGUAAAGCGGCGAACGGGUGAGGAAUACAUGGGUAACCUACCCUAGAGUGGGGAAUAACUAGCCGAAAGGUUAGCUAAUACCGCGUACGCUCCUUGGACUUCGGUUCAGGGAGGAAAGCGAUGCCGAGGGUAUCGCGCUCUUGGAUGGGCUCAUGUCCUAUCAGCUUGNGGUGAGGUAACGGCUCACCAAGGCUUCGACGGGUAGCUGGUCUGAGAGGACGAUCAGCCACACUGGCACUGCGACACGGGCCAGACUCCUACGGAGGCAGCAGUAAGGAAUAUUGCGCAAUGGGCGAAAGCCUGACGCAGCGACGCCGCGUGGGGGAUG